rnacentral:lncRNA from 1 species
UAGGUAAAAGUGCGAUUUCGAAACGUAUUUGGAGCUACGUACGAAUUCAUAUAAAUUAUUCCACAGUAAAAUUGAAUGGUACAUCUUGAUAAUCGGAUAUUUGUAAAUAUUCAAUUAUUUUAUUAUUUUUUUUUUUUAGAAAAUGCAAAAGAACGAUUUAAAAGUUGGAUCAAAAUAAUAGGAGAAAUAGAUGUUUAAGUUCACUGAAAAUUUCAAACGAGCAUAGAGAGCAUCAUUGUAAUUAUAAAUUGAUUUCAACAUUCUUUAAACCGAUCUAUGAAACAUUGAUCCACUUGUAUCCAUCAUUCAUUGGAUAUAAAAUAUCUUUCGCAUUGAGCUCCAUUGACGAUAGAUUAUUAAAGGGGGCAGGCACUCGGUAGACAUAUUUAGAGGAUUUUCAUAGCCAAAAGGAAUACGACAGGUAUAUAAACGCAUAAUAAAUGACAAUACAUAGACUUCAAAA